rnacentral:rRNA from 1 species
AUGGCGCCGUCGCACAGGCAGGGAGGAGACCGGCUGAGCGCUCUCCCCGACACGGCGCUGGAGCGCGUCCUCUCCCACCUCGAGUCCGACGAGGCCGUGCGCACAAGCGGGCUCGCACGCCGAUGGCGGCGCGUCCACGAGGGCGUCCCCGUCGUCCACCUCGUCGACACCAAGACCGGCGAACGGAACCGCGGCUUCGGCGAGCUCAAGGUCUGCUACGACCACCAGGUGACGAGCGCGAUCAUGGGCAAGGGCUCGGGGACGCCUAUCCGCGUGCUGCGCCUCGACGCCUUCUACCCCCCGUACGAUCUGCUCGACCAGUGGAUCGUCACCGCCGUGAACUCCGGCGUCGAGGACCUGGACGUCGAGCUCAGGUACCGCGAGUCCGGCCUGGGUGGCCGCCUCUGCCCCUUCACGCCCGACCUCUACGGACGGAAAAACUCGGCGGACUUCGACAAGAGCGACCGUAACAGGUACACCCACACGCAGCGCCACAUCUUCGGGUGCCCCACGCUCCGCCGCCUGCGCCUGGUGGGAUGGAGGCUCGACAUGCCGGAGAACUUGGCCAUGACCAUGGCGUCGCUAGAGACGCUCUGCCUCGCGAGGAUCAUGGACCCGCGCGGGGAGCUGCAGCGGCUGAUCUGGAGCUGCCCGCGCCUCGCCAGCCUGACGCUGGAGCAGUGCCCGAGCAUCAUAGAGAUCACGGUGGCCAGCCCCUGCCUGCGGAGCUUUGCCAUGAUCUGCUGCCACCACGCCACCGGCGUCGAUCUGCAGACCACCUGCCUAGAGUCGCUGCACUACAAGGGCGGCCUUCCUCCCCGCGGCUCGUCCUUCAUCACCGUCGCAAACUACGACGGAGUCAAGGCGGUGAGGAUCGAAAUCUGCGAGAAGCUCUCCAGCAAAGCACCAGACGACAUCGCACCGGUCACUACGCUCAUCCGCAGCUGCAAGAAGAACCUAAAGUAUCUCCACCUUUCCUUGCGCCCGUCGAUGGCCUACUACAGCAGCCUGUUCACAAGCCUCCUGCGCUCCCUAGACAGCCUCACGCACCUGAGCCUCCAGGGCUGCUUGCCCACCGAAGACGCCGUCCGGUCGGUCUCUGCUUUGCUUGUCGACGCCAAGAACCUGAAAGUACUGUCGCUGUUUCCUCUGGGUCCAGAGCCUCCAAAGAACAAGAGUAUGCGGAUGUACAGGGACCAAGACGAUGACAAAUCAGAUUCAGAUAGUGAGCCAGAAGAGGGCCCGGCCGUCAGCGAUGGCGUCCAGUACCGAAUGCCCAAGACUCUGUGGAAGGUGCAGGUCAGGUGCUUGGCUUACAAGAUGAGAAGAAUCAACAUUGGAAACUACAAAGGGCGGCCUCUCGAAAAGAUGCUUGCAAGGUUUCUGCUCUCCAGGGCUGCAGCGUUGGAGGAAUUCUCUGUCACCUUAGCAGCUGAAGUUCAUCCGCAGAAGGAUGAGAUUACAAAGGAGUUACUAUCCUGGCGACAAAACCGCCGUACUAGAGUAAUAUGCAAGUAG